UACAGAGGUGGCAAGCGUUGUUCGGAAUUACUGGGCGUAAAGGGCGCGUGGGCGGUCUUGUAAGUCUUGUGUGAAAUCCCUCGGCUUAACUGAGGAACUGCACGGGAUACUGCAUGACUUGAGAUCGGGAGAGGGAAGCGGAAUUCCGGGUGUAGCGGUGAAAUGCGUAGAUAUCCGGAGGAACACCGGUGGCGAAGGCGGCUUCCUGGACCGACACUGACGCUGAGGCGCGAAAGCUAGGGGAGCAAACGGG
rnacentral:rRNA from 1 species